rnacentral:rRNA from 1 species
GCUUACGGCCAUACCACCCUGAGCACGCCCGAUCUCGUCUGAUCUCGGAAGCUAAGCAGGGUCGGGCCUGGUUAGUACUUGGAUGGGAGACCGCCUGGGAAUACCAGGUGCUUUAAGCU